AAAUCAGCUGUUCUGGAAACGAAAACUCAGAGUUUCCCAUCUCAGGGUAAAUCAACUCAGAGAUCAGGGUUAGACUAAGAGUUUGUUAAACUUCCUUCCUGAAAUGGGGCUCUGGGUUUUCUUUCUGUUUAUUUGAAAGGCCCAAUGGUUUUUGCUGCAAUGCAAUCCAACAUGAGAAUGACAAGACGUGCAUGUGCCCCAGUUGCAAAGCAGAGGAUGAU